rnacentral:rRNA from 1 species
GAUGAACGCUGGCGGCGUGCCUAAUACAUGCAAGUCGAGCGAACAGACGAGGAGCUUGCUCCUCGGACGUUAGCGGCGGACGGGUGAGUAACGCGUGGAUAACCUACCUAUAAGACUGGGAUAACUUCGGGAAACCGGAUCUAAUACCGUAUAAUAUCUUGAACCACAGUGUGCAAUGGUGAAAUACGGUGUUUCUGGCUCGUAUAGCUGGAUCCGCGCCGCAUGAGCUAGUUGUUAAGGUAACGGCUUUUCAAGGCAAGGAUGCGUAGCCGACAUGAGAGGGUGGUCGCCCACACUGGAAGUGAGCCAGGGUCAAGACUCCUACGGGAGGCAGCAGUAGGGAAUCUUCCGCAAUGGGCGAAAGCCUGACGGAGCAACGCGGAGUGAGUGAUAACGGUCUUGGGAUCGUAAAACUCUGUUAUUAGGGAAGAACAAAUGUGUAAGUAAAUAUGCACGUAUUGACGGUAACUAAUCAGAAAGCCACGGCUAACUACGUG